rnacentral:rRNA from 1 species
AUUGAACGCUGGCGGCAGACCUAACACAUGCAAGUCGAGCGGCAGCGGGAAAGUAGCUUGCUACUUUUGCCGGCGAGCGGCGGACGGGUGAGUAAUGCCUGGGGAUCUGCCCAGUCGAGGGGGAUAACUACUGGAAACGGUAGCUAAUACCGCAUACGCCCUACGGGGGAAAGCAGGGGACCUUCGGGCCUUGCGCGAUUGGAUGAACCCAGGUGGGAUUAGCUAGUUGGUGAGGUAAUGGCUCACCAAGGCGACGAUCCCUAGCUGGUCUGAGAGGAUGAUCAGCCACACUGGAACUGAGACACGGUCCAGACUCCUACGGGAGGCAGCAGUGGGGAAUAUUGCACAAUGGGGGAAACCCUGAUGCAGCCAUGCCGCGUGUGUGAAGAAGGCCUUCGGGUUGUAAAGCACUUUCAGCGAGGAGGAAAGGUUGGUAGCUAAUAACUGCCAGCUGUGACGUUACUCGCAGAAGAAGCACCGGCUAACUCCGUGCCAGCAGCCGCGGUAAUACGGAGGGUGCAAGCGUUAAUCGGAAUUACUGGGCGUAAAGCGCACGCAGGCGGUUGGAUAAGUUAGAUGUGAAAGCCCCGGGCUCAACCUGGGAAUUGCAUUUAAAACUGUCCAGCUAGAGUCUUGUAGAGGGGGGUAGAAUUCCAGGUGUAGCGGUGAAAUGCGUAGAGAUCUGGAGAAAUACCGGUGGCGAAGGCGGCCCCCUGGACAAAGACUGACGCUCAGGUGCGAAAGCGUGGGGAGCAAACAAAAGUAGAUACCCUGGUAGUCCACGCCGUAAACGACCCAGUAGGAGGCUGUGUCCUUGAGACGUGGCUUCCGGAGCUAACGCGUUAAAUCGACCGCCUGGGGAGUACGGCCGCAAGGUUAAAACUCAAAUGAAUUGACGGGGGCCCGCACAAGCGGUGGAGCAUGUGGUUUAAUUCGAUGCAACGCGAAGAACCUUACCUGGCCUUGACAUGUCUGGAAUCCUGUAGAGAUACGGGAGUGCCUUCGGGAAU